ACAAGGUGACAAAGGCUUGUCUCACUUCAAUGUUCAGCCAGAGUGGAAUGCAAAUAGCAAGCAGUGCAUAACAAAAAGUAAAUUAGAUCUUUAAAAUCCUCCCUUUAAUAAUCAGAGAUGAUCCUGACACCUCAGGCAAGGCUUUUCUAUGAAUAUAGGAUUUUCAGCUCAACAAAAUGGCUUUAAAAGUCAGAUAAGAGACAAUACGAUUUUGUUCCUUCACUGUAAGAGCAAUUUCAUCCAUUUCACAUGACUUUGGGAGCCCACACACCUGUACUGUUUUUUUGUUUUUUUCCCCUGAGAGUUUUGCUUGAUUUUGUUAUUGAAAUAAACACUCUCACCUCAAAGGCUUUUUAUUUCUCUACUAUUAUAAGACAGUAACCUGGGUGGACGUUCAAAAGAAAACAAGGAAUUGAUUUGUUUUCUGGGUGAUCAGAAAUGGUCUAAGCCAAAGCCACAGACGACAAGUCGUUCAGUGCAGGGAAAAAGCAGAAAGCCUAUUUAUUGGCUUGAGGAUGUGUUCACAAGGCACUCAGAAAGGAGUGAUUAGUUCUGCCUUUUUGAAUCAAUCACAUACAGCAAAGGUAGAUAUUGGGGAAACUAAUGGAAGGAAUUUGUCAGAUGUGAUAUAAAGAGAAAAAAAAAUUCCUCAAAAAAGGGGGAAAUGCCAAAAGAUGUCCUCUCCUCAUAUAUGAAAACAUGUAGAAUGACACUCACUUGUAUUGAAUUAGUUAAACAGCACAAACAGCGCAGUUGUAGGAAAAAAAUACACUACGCUGAAGAAACUCUUACAAACAGACUUAACUAAUAAACCAAGGCAAUAGUUCUCUGUGAUGGUACUUGACCGGGUUUUGGAAUCAGAAGAACACUGAACUGGGACUGGUCAACUGACAGUUUUGAAUGCCAGUUUUCUCGUUUUUUUUAAGAUUAAUGGCAGGAAGUUAGUAGCGCUAUUAGAAGUCAGAGGGCCGGAAGUGAACUAGUUUUGCAUCUACCUGAUAGCAACUUCUAAAUAAUAACUGCGGAGAAGAAAAGGUGUUCAUCCUUAAUAGUACGCCACUGCAUAUUUGUAAGGGAAAUUAUCCAUUUCUCUUCUUAAAGAAGCCACAUCCUUUUGCUUCUGUAAUCAAAUGAUAUUCUAACAGUUCCGAGACGGCGUGAGCAUCUGUUCUCUGUGUUCGGUAGUUUGUGAGCUAGGAGAGGGUGAGCAGGACAUUAAAUGCUAAGGGGAAGUGAAAGAUGUGAACACAAAGCAAAUUUUGAUUUCUUUUGCUUUGUUCUCUCCUUUAUCAAAACAGGUUUCUGACCUAGGAACACAUGCUUAUGAUCGAACAUAUCCUCAAACAGCCAUCUGAGAGGUAGCAGGCAGUCCGUCAGUCAGGCUGCCUUGUCGUCAAACAUGCUAUACCUCAAUACGUCAAAUCUAAAGCCAUGUGUGGAGUUGUGACAAGAAGACAAUGAUUGUUCAAGCUGGUCCUUCCCCUUUUUUCAUGUCUGGUGCAAGGACACACUAAAGCUGCAGUGUUCCGGUCUUCAAAAGGAACAUUGUACACACUUGAUUUGCAACCAGGCUUCCUCAGAAACAUCACUCUUGCCACUGCAACAGCAACCUAACUGAUUUCUCGGCCUGAUGCUGCCAUCAAGUUAUUUCCUUAUGAGAGAUGAUGGAUGUGUAUGCUAAGUGAGGAAACCAUAGAAACAAGCAUGAAUCUAGCAGAUUGUUUCAUGUCUAGAGGCAUGAUGCAGCUGCAUACUACAGAAGAUCGGGGUGAAACAUCAAAUCACACAGAAAAUCUACUUAUGGCCAUUGAUGAAGGUGGCUAUAAUGAACAAUAGGUUUUUCAAUAUACAUGACACAGACUUCUUUUGGAAGAAAAUACCGUGUUUGAGUUUUGUAACUGGAGAGAAGUCAAUGCUUGACUCCAAAGCAUUGAAGAGAGAAGGAUAACAUGCUAGAAUCUAAUGCAACUAUUAAUUUUAAAUAGAAAUCAAUGUUCACUAACCAUCCUGAAAAUCUUAUUGCCCUUCAAAAUUGUUUUCAAUUUACUCUCUGUGCUGUGUAAAUAGAAUAACAAGACUGAAUGACAGCACAUCUCUUCGCAAUAUGGAACAUUGAGUAUUUCAAGCCUACUUAAAGAAGAUUCCUUUCAAUAGUUCACGGAUCAAGGGAUAAUUUUGACUAUCAAGACAGUAUUUAAGAGAUAUCAUUUUAUAGAAGCUAUCUGGAUAUGGUGCCUCUGGUGAAUCUUGGCAAAAUAUGUUGAUACUUUUGAAGAAAAGACUCAUCAUUGCAGAUACUAUUAGAAAAAUUUAUGAUGAAGAUAGAAAUAUUGACAAAAAAGAGAUUAGAAGAUAUUGAUUAUAACCUCCAUGAUUUAAGCAACUUCAACAAUCAGCAACAAAAGUAAAUAAACAAACAGCAACAGUAACAAUAGACCAAGGACUACAAGUGCAGUCUAAAAUGCUCUUGAGUUUGUGCACUUUGAUGUUGUUUAUAUGCAUUAGAAAACCAAAAUUUUCUGUGACCCAUUUACUGAGAUUUGCUUUAAUAGCACAGUCUGGGACUAAUCCCAAGCUCUCCAAGGUGUGCUUAUAUAAAUGGAGUUUCCCAUAGCUCCAGAGCCUCUAUAGGUUUCAUUGACUAUCAUGAGAAGCUCAAAAAACUCUGAGAAAUACCAAUUUCUCUUUAUGAGUUUAUUAUAAAGACUCAGAGUAUUGCAGAUGAAAAGAAGGAUAAGAAAAGACUUGAGAAAGCAUGGAACUUGCAUAUCUUCUUCAGGUGUACACUAUUCAGAAACCUCAUGAGCUCAAACCUUUGUAAACUCUUCAAACACUGUCCUUCUGCAUUUUCAUGGAGAUUUCAUUACUGGCACAUGACUGAUCCAAUCAUGGAUCAUUAGUGGUGAACUUAGUCAUCAGCUCUACUCAUUCCCUGAAGGGUAGAGGUUGCGGCUGAAAGUGCAGCCUUUUGAUCCUGCAUUUCUUUAGGGGUGACUGGGUCAGCCCCCAUCCUACAGCUCUAUAGGAAGUGCCAGACAUCAGUCAAACCAACAGAAGACCAAAAAAAUAAAGCCACAAUAAAUAUGAGAAAUCUAGAGAUUUUAGAAGUUGUCUGUUAGAAACUGAGACUAAUAUUGGACAAGUGUAGUGGGUAGCUGUUCCAGCUUUGACCUGGAAGUACUACUACCCCCUCUGAGGCUUCAGUAACUGUCAUGGCUACAAGGUGGGGCUGAGACACGAGCCCUUAAGACCUGAGAUCUGGAUGUGCCAGCUCUCUUGGUUCCUGGAUCCUGGAUGCUGGAGGUAGAUUGAGCAGAGUUCUCCAGAGAACACCGCUGGACUGUACUACACCUUUCUCAGACCCUGUAACCUGUCCCUUUACUUGUAAGUUACCCCACAAAAUAAACGUCCCUUUUAACUCCGUGGAGUUGCCUUAAUACUACAAUCAAUAGAUAAGUGACAUGUUCUAUUAGCCUAAUGGUGCAAGUCAUAGCAGGGAAAAGAUAGUCCAUUUGUUGAAGGUGAUUUUUUUCCAUUGUAUACUUUUGGCUUCUUUGUCAAAAAUCAAAUAUCUAUAGGUGUGUGGAUUUACUUCUGGGUCUUUGAUUCAAUUGCAUUAAUUAACCUAUUUUUAUGGCAACACCAUGCUGUUUUUAUUACUAUUGCUGUGUAGUAUAGUUUGGAAUGAUGAUACCUCCCAUAGUUCUUUUUGUAUAGGAUUGUUUUAGGUAUCCUGGGUUUUUUGUUUUUCCGUAUGAAGUUGAGUAUUGUUAUUUCAAGGUCUGUAAAAAAUUGUGAUGGAAUUUUGAUGGCCAAUAUUAAGAAUACCAAAUACUCUUGUGUCACCCACUCCAAUAUACCCAUGCAAUCUUACAUGCUUAAAAACAAUAGAAAUGAAUGGCUAAUGCCUAUGACCUAAAGAAUUUUGUGCCUUCCCCCAUCCCUGGUAUAGGUAUAUGACAAAUUGUAUUGUUUCUGGGAAAUAUAUGUUAUUCUUGAGAAUUUUUUAAAAGAAAAGAAAAUAAGACUAAGACUAAAUACAUAUUUGCAAAGUUACAAAUGAGCUAUUUCCUAUGUCACAAUCAAAUUAAGGCAUCAGAAUAUGUGCCAUAUAACAAGUAUCACCUUGCUGUGAUCAUACAAGCAGAAGUCAGCCUACCUCUGCAAAUUAUUAAGUGAAUGCCAAGUAUUUGAAAAAUACUCAUGUCAGGAAAAAAAUCCUCCUUUGUUUCAGGUGGACACACAAUGGAACGUUACUAUGGAUUAACAUGGAGAUCUGGGGGUUGUUUAUUCUACAUUAUAUUAUUGUAGUAUUGUGAUUAAUAGUAAAUAUCUGGAAUGAAGUUUAUUCCAAAAGACAAUAUGCCUAUGUCAUGUAAUCAUAAAAAAUCCACAGGUAACUCUGACACUUCUUCUCUUCCCCUCUCUUGGGUGCUUCUGUCCUCGGGGAAAUAAAAUAUUGGAGUUAGCAGUUGAAAUAACAACAAGUGUUUAAGUUAUAAGGAUAGAACACAAGGAAUGAAAGAAAAAUUUAAGAGAUGGUAAAUGUAGAAGUUGCACAAUUUCUCUAAAAAGGAACCACCUUAUAAUUACAACAUUACUUAACUUGGGGCAUUUCAUUACAGUAAUGGAAAAGUGGAUAAAUACAGAAACCCUUCUCUAGCAGUGUUGAGCCUUCAGUCUAAGAAUUCUGGCUGCCAAAUGUGCAUAAAAUCAGAUCAGGAAGUCACAGACAUUCAAAGUCCAGUUAUCCACAUCAUGGUUUCUCUCUUACAAGCAUGAUUGUUCUCUUCUAAUGAUAACAUUGAGACUUGAGGGAAGGCACUUAAGGAGAAAACUGAAAACGAGUGAGAUAGUGUGGUGGAUAAAGGCACUUGAUGUAAGCCUGAGUACUUGUUUGAUUUUAGAGACCCACAUGGAGGAAGGUGAACUGAUUCCCACAAGUGGUCUUCUGAUCUUCGCACAUGCACUGCAGCACUACUCACAUGCACAUACCUGAAUGAAUGAGUAACUGAAUGAAAAAGCUAAAUAGGUAGAGUAACUUUGGAUUUUUAUCUUAGAGGAAAACUUAAGUUGGUUUAUAUAUCUUAAAAAAUGAGUUAGACCUGGACAGGGUGGUUCACAUCUGUAACUACAGUACCUGGGGACCUGAGAGAAGAUAACACAGUGGAGGUCUACUGGGCUGUGUUAUAAGAACUUGACUCAACAAACAAACCAGCAAUAAAACCAAAGAAUUGGUUCAAAUAACCCUCAACUAAUAUGGUACAUAGCAGUAGGAUAGAUGUGAACACUGGCUGGAACAUCAGUUCAUUGAUCUAUUGACAGCUUCAGAAGCGCAAAGAUCUUGCAUACACCCCUGGUCUAUUCUGACUACACUGAUAUGAAACAUCAAUCUAAUUUCACAUUGACUUUUGUAUUACACUUACACAUCAACAACACGAGCUAUUAAGUACUUAAGUUGGGCAUUUAAACUCAACUCAAUUUCAAAAUAAUAAAUGAAAACAUUUAUUUCUUCAGGCACAGUAGCCAUAGUUUCUAUGCUAAUUUGCAACAUGUAGCUAGUGGCUACAUAUACAACAUCCAGGUCACUUUCACCACCACAAGAUGUUUAAUUGAUAUGUGUCCCUAAAAGAUUGGGGGAGAUUUAUCACUGUUUUGCAUUUUUUCUCUAUACUUUUUUUAAAUCAUAGCUCUUCAUAUUAUCAUUUAAUUAGACAUAGGUCUUGGGUUAUUUUUUCUUCAUUCCUACCUUUUAGUUAUUGAUUUCUUUUUUGUUUUUAUUUUUUAUUAUUAAGAAAUUUUCUAUUCAUUUUACAUACCAACCACAGAUUCCCUCCCCUCCCUCCUCCUACCCCCAACCUUCCCCGCCAUCCCACUCCCCAUUCCCACCUCCUCCAAGGCAAGGCCUCUCAUGGAGGGGAGUCAGCAGAGCCUGAUACACUCAGUUGAGGGAGGUCCAAGCUCCUCCACCUGCAGGGUUAUGUUUAAAAAAUAUUUCUUAUACAUACUGUCUGUACUACAAGAUAGUAUAUUUCAAAGUCAAGGAAAAUUCUAAUACCAAAUCAUUAAUGAUUUAUUAUUUUUGUUUUAAACAUUGAUGUGGAAUUUUUUGACAUAUCAAACCUUUGUUAUUGCCGCUAAAUAAAAUAAAAUUUAGAGUUAGCUUAUUAGCUAAAAGAGCUGCUCAGUGGUACAAUAUUAUGAUCUUUAUUUAGUAACAAUCAAUAAUCCUCACAGUUGAGCCAAGGAACUGGAAAAGGCUCCAAACCCAACAUUGAGGUUAAAGUCAUGGCCUGCAUUUCCAUUGUCAAUAAAGGUAGGUUUUUUAACUGGAAGAAUGUCUCUCAACUCAUUGACUCAUGUGAGGAACCAAUGGUGAGGAAAUUACCUUCAGAAAUCAAUUUCAACUUAGUCCAGGAGGUGUAAGUGCCAAUUGUCACUCAAAGUCAAGGUGCAUGUCAGGCAUGUCAUAUGUAACUUUGGCUCAGUGCUGUCCCACAGUUAUUUCUAGCUCUUGAUUUCAAGUGGUAUUUUUGCCCUUGAUACAAAUAACCAAAUCAACUCCAGAAAACAAGAUGAAUUUGACUAAACUACAGAUUCUUACUACUAUUUAUACAAGAUUUGAUCAUUUGAAGUACAGUUAAAAAAGUCAAAUAAGAAAGGUGAUAAUCUCUUCUAUGAUUGCAAAGUCCAAUAGAAAAAGGUUUAUUAAGAAAUUGUGAAAUUGGUUUAGCAUGGUGGCACAAUGCCUUUAAUCCCAACACUCUAGAGGCAGAGACAGGUGGGUCUCUUAGUUCAAGGCCAGCCUGGUCUACAGAGAGAACUCCAAGACAGCUGGGCUACACAGAGAAGUGCUGUCUAAAGAAACAAAAACCAAAAAAAAAAAAGAAAGGAAGAAAUUGUGAAAUUGAAUGAACAUACUCAAAAAUUUAUCCAUAGACUUCCUCUCUUCCCCAAAGUAUUCAAUCAAUGUCACUACUCUUUUUUUUUCCUCUAAAACUGCUUUAAAAAAUGUUUUAAGUGUGGGCAUUUGUAUAUGAAAACUUCUGAAGCCUUGCAUUCUUGAAAAUAUUGUACUAGGCUCUAUCAUUUAUGUUUUUAAUUAACAUGAUCAUUAUACAUAAUUAUUGGGUAAAAUGCGAUAAUUCAAUUAAUAUAUACAAUGUAUAAUGACCAAGUCAGGCUAUUCUAUCACUUUGAAUUAAGUUUAGAUAUGCAUUUAAAAAAGAAAGAACUAUUUACAUAAGAGAGAGAGAGAGAGACAGAGACAGAGACAGAGAGGCAGAGACAGAGAGACAAUGAGAGAGAGGUGAUGCAGGUGAUAUUUACAUGUAAUUCAGAACCCCUUUAGAGGUUAAAAUCUGAUUUGGUGUCAUAUGUAGAAGUAGAAGUUUAAGAACAAAAAUCACACAUUUAAAAAUGCCCAGGCCCAUGCUGCCAUUGAGAGCCACAUCUGUGUCCAUGGCCAUACUGAAGCAGCUGGGGUUGAUGUUGAUGUCCAUGGUCCGAGUUACCAUUGAAGGCCAGGCAGAUGUCCACGAUCUAUGCUGCCUCCUGAAACCAUAUCGUUGUCUGUAGGCCAUACUGCUCUUGGGGGCCAAAUUGAUGUGACUGACCCGUGCUGUCACCUGAGGCCAUGGUGACGUCCAGAUCCCUACUGUUGCUGAGACCCAUAUCUGGGUCUGUGGUUCUCCUGCAGCAGGGGGCUGUAUUUGUGGGUCUGUGCUGUCGCUAGAAACUAAAACUAUGUGGAGGUCCAUGACCCAUGCUCCCACUCACUAUGCAAUCAAGGCGGUUACUUUUGCAGUGAUAUUGAGGACUAAAGAUGCACAGUUGAGAUUGGGGAACAUGGAAGGCUUGUGUGACAAUCUUUACCCCCACCCCAAUGCCCACCCUCCCAAAAAGUAACAGCCUAGAUAGGAAGCCACCAAAGAGAACUCUUAAAAUGUGCAAUGGAAGCUGGGUGGUGGUGGUGCAUGCCUUUAAUCCCAGCACUUGGGAGGCAGAUACAGGCAAAUCUCUGUAAGUUCCAGACCAGCCUGGGCUACAAAGUGAGUUCCAGGAAAGGCUCCAAAGCUACACAGAGAAACCAUGUCUGAAAAAAAACAAAAAAGAAAUGUGUGAUGGAGAUGCUGAAGUGUAGCUCCCCACAAUUGAUGGCUUCUGGUGGAGAUAUAGGAGGGGAGGGACUCAGUACUAUUUAAAGGGCAGAACAUUAAGAAUUUGACCAUGCUCCAGUGAGUAUAUAGAUAACACAAAGUAGUUAUUAUUAUUAUUAUUAUUAUUAUUAUUAUUAUUAUUAUUAUUUACUUCUUUUUGUGGAGAUACAAGGGGGCUGGACAUGGAAGAACUGGGAAGGGAUUAUGAUCGGGGUACAUGAUGUGAAACUCCCAAAGAACCAAUAAAAAUGUUACGUGAAAAAAAAAAGAAAACUCUUACUUUUGUUUCAAAUUUCAAUAUAUAAUUUUCAUAGUCUUUCUCAACAUAGAAAAAGAAAAUGAAUUCAUUGUUGUCUUUUCUCUCCCAGCAGCCUGCACAGGCACAGUGAAAAGCCAGUCAUUAAAAAGAUUCCUGGGUUUUUUGAAAUAACUUGUCUCUGUCUGCAGCCAAAGUGUGUGGUGUCUUUAGCAAUAGGGUCUUACCAUGUAGUUAUGGUGGGUAGCCAAAAGCAAUGAAAUAGCCCACAUUGUUUUGGAAGACUCUACGCCUUCCAAGCCAAUAACUUAUAGGGAGCAUCUCAUGCCUUCUACUGUGAUUUUCACUUAAAUAACCAUGUCUUCCAGGAUCAUGUCCAUGCAUGUGGGAUAAUUCUGUUUGAGCUCUUUUUUUAAAACUUUAUUUUGAAAUUACCUUACUAACUAGUGGAUUUUCACAAGGCUUUUCAUGCAUCCUUAACUGGUUAAUCCACCCAUUACCUUGUUAUUCUACACAUCCCACCACUCCCAUCCCUGCCUAAGCCUUUAGACCUUAGGAUUCUCCGCUCUUCUUUCUUUUCACAUGUCCUAUUAUUCAAUUAUUCUCUUAAGUUGAGUUGUGAAAAAAUAGACUUCCGUACAGGCUUUUUCAUACUCCCAUUCUUGGGGUUAGCCCUCCCCAUCAGCCCCUCAUUCCCCCCAUGAUCCCAUAUGCUUCCUUGUUUAAGCCUGUCUGCUCCCAAAAGUCCACCUCACUACUUUGUUUCUACCUAGAAUCUACUAUCUACCCUCCCUUAACAUGCUCUCUCCAACUAAAAAGUCUACUUUGCAUUUCCUGUCCUUCAUGUACACUCUGUUGUCUUACCCAGUACUGGGCUUUCACACUGCAAUAUACAGGGCAAGAUACACCUACUGGUGCAGUAGUGAUAUCACUAUUGUAGGAUCAUUAACUACUUACUUGUUGGACUUGAAGCCAUCUCUACAAGUGGGAACUUCAUGCCUGAUACUGUAAUCCUGGUCUAAAGACCACAGUUAGGGACACAAUGGGGGUGAGGUAGGAUUUUCUAUUGUCAUUUUGCAAAUUGGUCAUGCUGUCAGAUAGUCUUCUAAGUAUUUAUGUUUACAGCCAUGGGCCUAGGCUGAUCUCAACCUUUAUUAGAGAAGUGUAUGUGUAUGUAUGUGUAUGUGUGUGCAACAAAUUAGACAAUGGAGAGAUGUAUAACUGGUCGAAGUUCUGAGAAGAAAGGAUUGAGUGCUCAGCCUUAAACAGGACAUUUGUAUUAACUACACAUGAUCACAGAAGAGGAAUUUGAAAGAAUGUGAGAGCCAGAGUAUGGGAGGAGCGCUGUGACACGCUGUCUUCUGGCCUUGACAUAGGUAUUGUAACCAUAAUUUCACAGCAGAUGUAGUUACCUGCACAGGAAUCAAGCUAGCCCAAAUCCCAGAUUAGAAUGGGUAGAUGAUAUUCAGACCCCACCCCACAAUAAGGAGCUACUGGCAGUGGAUAGUUGCUGGCUGAAGAAGAAUCAUUCUUUAUUGAGGAUGUGGCCCCAGACAGAUUUCCUAUGUUCCAGGAAAAUGCACCACACCCAUGCACCUCUGGUAGCAUUAACUGGACUUACUGGGUUGUCAAACACCCCCCCCCACACACACACGUAGGGAGGGGAAGCAUACAGGGAGGAUAUGGGGAGGAUAUGGGGAGAGUGGGAGGGAGAGUAUAGGAUAAAUAUCGCAUUUCACUGUAUACACACAUGAAAAUUUAAAAAAUACAGGAAAAUUUUCAAAAGACAAUAUUUUAAAGAUUUAAUUUGUUCCAUGUUUUGGAUAUUACAUAUAAUCAUAUUAUUUUUGUCCAAUAGAGUUUACUUGUUAAACAAAGAAUGACACAAAGUCAAUAUUAAACAUAUCUGCUUAUGUUGCCUUAAUCAACUUUGAACUUCCUAACUCAAAUGGUUCUGUGGAAUGUAUAAGCUUGAUCACAGAUAACAGAAUACAGUUUUUUAGUAUAAUGGCUUUUUUUUGUCUUAUUUAUGUUUAUUUCCUUUUCAACCUUCAAAAACUUUGUAGGAGGUACACCUUAUCCUAGGAUCAUGCCAGGUAUUUUGAAAUAUCUCUAUAAAGCAUCUUAAAGUUUACAUUUUUUCAUUUUUUAUAAUUUGAUCAGAGGAUGCUUGUCUCUUCCUUAAUGUGCUAAUCCUAUUUUCACAGAAACAAAGGUUGUUUCCAAUUUUAAUUUAAUGCAUUCUUUUAAAAUGUAUACAUAAAUGUAUAUUAAGGACAAUUAGUGAGAAAAGAGGCUGUUAAAUUGAAAGAGGGUAAGGAGGGGUAUAUGGUUUGGAAGGAGAAACAGGAAGGGGGAAAUGAUGUAAUUACACUGUAAUCUCAAAAAAUUAAAAAAUUAUAAAAAAGAAGAAAAUUAUAAAUACUGUCAUGACUAGAAUCAUGAUGGGAAGACCAAAAAUAUGCAUGUAUGUACAUAUGCCUAUGUGAAUAUACACGUUGCGAUAUAUGCUCACAUACCUGUACACACACACACACACACACACACACACACACACACACACACACACACACAUUUCAAUUCUACUAGUGGGUUUUUUCUUUUGUUUUUUUUUGAGAUAGGAACUCACUAUGUAGCUGUGACUGUCCUGGAUCUCACUAUGUAGAUGAAGCUGGCCUCAAACUCAAAGAGAUCCACAUGCUUCUGCCUCCUGAGUACUGGGGUUAAAGAAGUAAACUACUACAUUGGAAGUCCUAAUAAUAGCUUUUUAUUCUAACUCAUUAUUAGACAUUGACCUGAUGGCAACUGUACUUUGGAAGGCCUGCAGGAAAAGGCAUAAACUGUAAAACUUUAAAACUGUAAUCAAAACUUACCUUUUAUGGUGAUAAAACAUAGAGAAAUCCAAAUAUAAUUCAGACUAAGAUAUUGGAACACAUUUUUAAAUGUGGACACCUUAUAUAACUUGGGGAGAUUAAAAAUGAAUAACUAUGUCAAUUUAGUUUUCCAAUAUAAAACUCAAGUUGAAGUAAGUGAAAUAAAUAUUUAUAAGUUAUUUCAGUUUAUAUUUUUUAUGCAGUAUGCUAUAUUUCCUCUGUGGAAAGUAUAAGGGUAGAUUAUUUCCUUCUCAUUGCUUUAGAUUCUCAAGGAGUCUUCUAUUAAACACACUUUAUUUUUAUGCAAAUGGGACUUGGUAAUGUGCUUGACCUUUGUCAUAUACUUUUCCAUUAUACAUGUUUUAAGUAACGUGAUUUAAAAGAGAGAUCUGAAAAAUAGAUUAGAAUUUUUUUCUUGGUUAUUAACCCUUCUGCCAAUGUUUCUUUGCUUCACCAAACCAAAACAGCACAUUGACUUAGGGCCAACGCUGAUUUUCAUUUAAAAAAGCACACACUAUCAUGUAUGGUUGAAUGCUGGAAUACAAUGAAAUAUAUUUUUAAAUGCUUAUCCUGGAACUUUACCUAUCUUGUGGUUUUGGUAUGGAUAUUGGUUUUGAUUGUUUCAAAGGAAGUUCCAAAGCUCCAUAGAUAAUUCCAAUAUAUAAGGAAAUGAAAGAUGUUAUUUUGGAGGUUUUUGUUCCCAAUCUUGUGUACAUUAGAAAUGUCUGGGAAAUCUUAAGAUGCUAGUGAAAGGCUCUCACAUUUCACUUUGGUGCAGUUGGGUCCAAGGUGCAGUCAGAGCAUCCUAGUCCUAAAACUCCCCCCACCUGCAACGUGCUUCUAAACACCAAGGGAUGGAACUACCAAUGAUACUCUACAUUUCGCUGGAUCAGAAGAUCAAUAUGCCUUAUGUGUUUAUAAAGGUUGUCACACUGACACAAUGUUACUGCACCCAUAAGCCUUGAAACAGACUUACUCUGGUGUGUCUGAAUGAAGACAGAGUAACUAAUAAUCACAAACGAAGCAUUCCAAGAGUAGUCAUCCCAUCUUCAUUGUGAAAGGAUGGCAUUGAAGGUUAAAGUUAUUCUAUUUGAUGAAGGCAAAUAACAAGAGCUAUAAUCAUAAGAAAUUAUUUUCACUGCUGCAGUUAUGACAACUGAUAUGGUCCUUGGGACAACUUUAUUAUGCACAAAAUAAAAAUCACAGAGAAGAGAAUAGGCACAUUUUGAUUGACUCACUAUUGUUUUUUUUUAAAGAAUGUGAUCCGUUCUCCAAUAAAUGUUCUCAGAUGUGUAAAAGCCAUCUAUAAAUGUUUAUUUUAUAUAGAAUUUUUUCACAAGUUCUUUAAAACUAAUGUAAACUCUCAAUUAUUUAAAUGUGCAAAUGUAGAGAAAGCAUGUCUACUUAAAAGCAUGUCUAUAUAAAGCAUUUCACCAUGUCAUGCUCCAUGGUGAUGGCUACAUGGUUAUUUUUCUUCUUAAUAAAAAACUACAAACAUUCUGGAGACUCCAGGUGUAAGCUGUUAAACACUUUUCUACUCUUGUACAAUUGGUUCAGAUGGUUCUGCUGGUGCAGCUUAUUGACAUGUUGUAUAACACUGUACAUACUAUUUCUUAUUAUUUAAUUUAUGCCUUCUAGUGUUUAAUUUUCUCAUAUUCAAAACUUAUCCAAGUUCUUACACUCAAAAUGAUCAGUAAACAGAGCUGUGCUCAUAUUCUUUAGUAACAACAUACAAAAAGCUGUUCAUAUGGGUGGGGUGUGAAUGGAUGAGUGUUUGUGUGUGUGUGUGUGGGUGUUUGUGUGUGUGUGUGUGUGUGUGUGUGUGUGUGUGUGUGAGAGAGAGAGAGAGAGAGAGAGAGAGAGAGAGAGAGAGAGAGAGAGAGAGAGAAAGAGAGAGAGAAUUGAUAAUUGGGAUGCCAUUUCCCUAACAGCCUGCUUUCUUAAAAAUUCAUGUUUAAUUCUGUCCUCUCCAUAGUCAGGUAUGUAUUUCUAUGAUCAAAGCUAAUAUUAUGACUUCAAGAAAUGAUAAAAUACUUGUAAAUAGUAUGGCUAGUGUGUAAUUUAUGGACAAUUCAAAGUUUCUUUAUUUGAUAUUUACUACAAGAAAUAAAAAAUUGAGCCGGGUGGUGGUGGCACAUGCCUUUAAUCCCAGCACUCAGGAGGCAGAGCCAGGCGGAUCUCUGUGAGUUCAAGGCCAGCCUGAUCUACAGAGCUUGUUCCAGGACAGGCUCUAAAACUACACAGAGAAACCCUGUCUCAAAAAAACCAAAAAAAAAACCAAAAAAAAAAGAAAAAGAAAUUAAAAAAUUGGUUAAAAUGGCAAACAAGCAAAAGGGUAUUCAUGGUAGAGUGGUCAUUUAGUCUGGGUUGAUGAAAGAAAGAAAUAGAUUUUGUGUGCCUGCCAGGUAUAAAGGGAGGUCUUCGUACAGGAAUUAUCUUGGAUAUUUUAUUAAGAGCAUAAGUUAAAUAAGGUCAAAAAUAUAAAUUAAGAUAUAAAGUACACCCAAAAUAUUACAAUAUUUUAUUUAAAAUAGUGCCAGUUUGCCUACUUACUUUGAUGAAUACUCUAUUAAUCUUUACUCUUUACCUAUCUGAUUGUUGGAUCAGUUCUAUGGGAGUUAAAUUUAUACUUGAUUAUGAUGCUGUCUGACUCAUAAAGUAACUGAAAGAGCCAGAAUAAGUAAUAUUCAAAUUAUUUAUGUUUUAUAGGCAUUGAUUAAAUAAUUAGAAAAGGUCAAAAUAUCAUGAAUUAAACUAAAUUUUUGGACACAGGCCAUUUUUGGUUGCCAGCAGAAAUAUAGCAAUGAGAUACAGAGACAACUUCGGAAUGUUUCCUUCUCGACAAGGUCACAAUUUAGUAGAACUGAGAGGACAACAAAAGACUAAACUACAGACCUAUGCUGGAAGAGCCACAGUGCACAGCCCAGGUGACACCUGGCUUCACCUGUGACAUCUCAGCAGAGAACACAGUGAUGUCACAUCCAUAGCUAGAGCUCCAUGGCCGUGAGCUAAUAGAUAGGUGCUGUCUUAUGCCGCUAAACUCUCAUGGUGGAAAUUAUAACACAGUCAAAGCAAACCAAUUUUAGGGAGACAUAUCAUUCAAGGAUAAACUCACUGUAUUGAUAACUUGAUAUACGAACCAUUAAAGUUAUUUUCAGCAGCUAGUUACAAAUCAUGUAAAAAAUGAGCCUCCUCAAUAGUUAAAAACAAAAUAUAACAAGACAACAUUUCCUUUGUUUGUCCAAUUAUUUGUGAGUCUUUUGGCUAUUCCUACUAUAUAAUCUUCAAAUUAAAGAUUAUAAAAUAUAUCAAUAAUAGCUUUAUAUAAGUUUGUCACUCCCUAUACCAACCUUUUCUUUGAAAAUAUUUCCAUUGAAACUGGUAUGAUCUCAGUCUGGAAAGAUGGCUUUAUAGGUUAGUGCUUGCCAUGGAAGUGUGGUGAUAUUUUAUUUGUGAUGAAAUGUGAUUUUAUUUGUAUUUUAAUAAAUAAAGUUGCCUGGGGAUCAGAGCUAAAAGCAAGCGAUUUAGCAGAAGUCCAGCAGUGGUGGCACACGCCCUUAUUCCGAUCACAUGGCAGGCAGAGUCUCUGGGUGUUCAAGGACAGCCAAGCGGUGACCCUAACCUUUAAUUCAGUACAAACCAUAGAGACCUGGAGGUCUGUAUAGACAGGCAGUGAUGAGGAAAUCUUGUGGUUGGGUUUACAGCCAAUGAGAAGGUAGAACAGAAAGGCAAUAAAAAGACAGGUCACACAGGUGAAGGUCUCUCUCUCUCAGGGGAAGGAUGGCAGUGAGUGGUAAGCUAAAGGCUAUUCACUAGUGCUCUGACCUCUUGGGCUUUUAACUCUGUAUUUGGUUUUGUGCUUUUUAUUUAAUAAGACCAUUUAGAAUUUCAUCUAUGGAAGCCUAAAGACUUGACUUCAAUUACUGAAACCAAGAUGGAAGGAGAUUGCUGUGGGAUGUUCUGUAUGCUGUGAAAAUAUGUUGCUGUGAUUGAUAAAUAAAAUGCCGAUUGGCCAGUAGCCAGGCAGGAAGUACAGUGUAGGUGGGACAAGAGAGAGGAGAAAGCUGAGGAGAAGAAGGCUGAGUGAGGAGAAGCUGCCAGGUGCCACGAGAAGAAGCAUGAUGUAAGAUACUGGUAAGCCACGAGCCAUGUGGCAAGGUAUAGAUUUAUAGAAAUGGGUUGAUUUAAGAUAUAAAAACAGAUAGCAAGAAGCCUGAGCCAUUAGGCCAAAAAGUUUAAAUAAUAUAAGAGUCUGUGUGUUUAUUUCAGUCUGAGUGGCUGCCGGCCUGGGCGGGACUGGAGAUAACUCCAGCUACAGGAAAUAAAUAACUUGCUGGUGAAACUUGUCUUCUGACCUCUUUCCUGUGGCUUGUGCAUGUGUGCAUGUGCACAGUCUCUCUCUCUGUCUCUCUCUCCUCUAUCAUGCACACACAUACAUACAAACUAAUAAUAAAUAAAAAUUUACAAGUAAAAAAGAGACUGUGACCUUUCUUAAUUUCUGCUUAUUUUUAUAAAUAUUUAUCAUAGCCAUUAUUGUUUUAUGAAAAUUAUGCAUGGGAUAUUCAUGUCAACAAUUUCUGAAAAUUGUAUACAUAUUGCAUGUAUUUUAAAAUGAGAAGAAAUAUUAAGUAUUUCUUUUUGUAGUAUAAUUGAAGCUAUUUAAUGAAGUGUAACAAAAAAUCUAUUACAGAAUAACCUUAAGGAAUAUAUGUUGCAUUAUUGUUACAGUAAUUAUCAAUGGAAUAAUAUUAUUCAGUUUGCUGAUACAUACUUCAUGAGGCUACAUCUAAAUUAAUGAUAUCAUGCUAUUAAGAUAGCAGGAAUUUGUUCUUCUAAAAUGCUCUCUCUUGGUUUUUAUAAUAAGACAUUUCUUCCUUGUUGCUAUUUGUUUUCAUUAUAUAAAGUUUCAUUCUCUGAGAAUAUCACACAAUUAUUUUUAUACAUUAGAAAUGAAAUCAUUACUCAAAUUUAUUGCUUGUAAUAGAUGUAUUAGGCAAGAGGUGUGGAACUAAGAAAUAAAUAUGACAAAAGAAUUUAGAAGAGCACCAUCUUAAAUAUGUGACUAAAUAUCACUUUUAUUAUUCAUUUUACUUGUGAGCUGAAUGUUCUUUUUGUUAUUUGGUUUACUACAAUUCAUUUCAUCAGUAGGUUGUUACUGUAUUUAUACAUCUGAAACCCAUCACACUGAACAAUUGUCCAUGUUCAUAACCAAUCAAUGAAGGUUGCUGUGAAGAACAAAAAUUAAGAAUAUGACCCUAGCUUUGUGUUAGUAAUUAUGUGAUGGAAAAUAUUUGGUCUCAGAUCCUUGUAAUAUCAGCUGCCUGAAAAAUCACCAUUUCUGCACUCUUGGAGUCUUAAACAUCAUUAAUCAUUUCACUUCAGAAUUCAAUAGGUAUGGAUUUUGUAAAACUUGGAAUGGCUACGUUAAUGAUGCCUAAUGAUGCCUUCCUCUCUUCACCCCUACUCAAAGUAAGAGUAAAAUUAUAACUUUAACCAGAUGUCUUGAAUGAGAGAUCUCAUGUAAUUAAAUUCUGAAACUUCAAUCUCUAAACUUCAGGCAGCCACUUAAAAUAAGGGACCAUUUUAACUGCUCUGAACAGAACUCCCUUAUGCUUUUGUCUCUGGGGAGGAUUGCCUUAUAAUUCCAGCACUUCAGCCAGAUUGUUUGCACAUGGUUGAGCAGACAUAACAUAUCAUUUUACACCAGUAUAUUUAAUAUCACAGAUUCUUUAAUGGACUGACACACUGUUGGCAGUAUUAACAUAUAGACAUCAUUAGCUUUCCAAGAGAUCCAUAAUUGAAAAGUCAUCCUGAUGACAAAUGUCACCUUGUGAGUACUGUUCUAAGAGAAUAAAGCUUUGCAGAUAUCCUAGAAAGAACAAGGGGAAACUCAUUUAUGACCAUGUUGAAUCCAUAGCCGCUAUGUUCUUCUUAGCCUUCAUGAAUUGCUUGCAAUUUGCAGAUUUCUGUCACAAAAUUGAACUAUUUCUCCUAAUUCCUAAAAACAGUUCAAUUUCAACCCAGCAUAUUCCUCAGAUGCUAAGUUAGUGAGCUACAGAUUUACAUGUCUCUAUAUUACAUAUUUCAAUAGUUUAAGGUCUAAGUCCAAAAUUGGUGAAGGUCUAGAAAAAUUUGUAUGAAUGCAUUUGCUCAUUAGAAACAACUGUAAAUAUACUAUGCCAAAUUAUUUUGCUGGGUGAAGUAAUGUAUUCUUUUUUAAUUUAAAUUUCUUCUCACAAUAGAUUUUAUUUACUUCAAUUUAAAAAAUUUAUUUGGCUUUAAAUUUAAAUUAAAGCAAUAUGUUUAGAUAUAUCCUCAAUAGGAAAAUGCUUUUUUGGCUCAGUUAUUUCUCUCCCUUUGUUCUUGCUUUUCCCCCGUCUUCUAGAUAUUUUUUCUUCUAGAGAUAGAUUUACUUUUUUUCUUUGAUAUAAAUCCUAAGGUUUGAGAGAGAAGACCAAAACCAAUGCUUUUGAAAGUUUGAAAAAUAAACUGAAAUGUGUGCAUUUGAAGUCAUUAUCACACAAGCUCUUCCUCUGAGCCUGGACUUGCUAUUUUGUGUCUCUAAGAGUGUCUGGGUCAGGUGUGGUCUUGAAUAAGAGGCAGUUUUGUAUAUAGAUGAGCUGAGCCAGCUCAGGGCUUAGGGCCAUGAUGUUUUUAAAGAGGGUGGUAAAACUGUCUUUAGGUAUCUACUUAACUCUAGAAGAUAUCAAUGCUGACAUUUAUAACCACAUAUGUCCACAUCUUCUGACUCUCAAGGCGGAUACUUUCAAUACCUCAAGAAUAGUGACUUGGAGGUGAAGUAUCUUUAAUAUUUUCUUGGCAAUGAAUAUGCAAAGUUUUAACAAAAAGUAUAAAAGGAAUAAUUAAAUCACUUUUUAAAAUAAACUGCAUAUUUAGAUUAAUUCAAUCAAUCUUAAAUUCAACUCAUCCUUGAAUCAAACUAUUUUGUGUGCAACUAACACAAAUAAUCUGCUCAAAAUCCUGGAGUUUGAGUCCCCAAUGUUCCCAUUUAACAGCUGUGUGUAUUUGACUAUCAGUCACAGCACUUUCUUUUCCCUGUCUUUCAAAAGAUGAGGGCAAUUCCUGCCAAGUUAUAUUUUAAUGAUCCUUCCUACCACAUGGGUUUUUCUCUGAAGAUUUAAUAACUGGUUCAUCUGAAGCAGCACAGUUCACUAGGGGUGAUUUAUGUACAGACUCCCAGCCAAUGUUGCAUUUGGCCAUAUUUGUAAAUGCUUUUGUUUGUCACAGUCGGGGUGUGAGUGGGGAUGGGGUGGGUGGGUGGAUGUGUGUUUGUGUAUACAUGUAUGCAGCUGAGACAUUCUACAGCUCACGGGAUGGACUAUACAAUAAAGAAUUCCUCAACUGACGUGUCAGCAAGACUGAUGGGACUCGCUUGGAAUAUCAACAACUGCAAAACUCUAACCUUUAUUUUAGAGUACCAAUGUCUACUUGUUUGACUUGUUGCAUUCCACUCUUUUUCCUUUAUCACAUUGCUUCUCUUCUACAUCUUUUCUUAUAGUUUUGGUUGUGAGCGUAGUCCUUAACAGCUGAGCUAUCUCUCCAGCCCCUACAUCGUUUCUUUGUGGAGUCUGAUAGAAUCGAAUCCACAAUCUUGUAAGUAGCUGACAUCAGAAUGAAACAACCAGAGAAUCUGAAAUGUCUUCUGUGCUCAAUAGUAUCAUAUCAACUUGACAUGAGCUAAAGUCACCUGAGAGGAGAGAACCUCAAUUAAGAAAAUGCCUUUACAAGGUCUGUUUGUAGGUAGGUAUGUUUUCUUCAUUAGUGAUUGAUGGGAGAGGGCCUAGCCAUUGUGGUCCUGGGUUCUAUAAAAAAUGGGAGGGCGCAGAUCAUAUGGUGACACCAGGAGACAGACAGUGAAAAGGGGCUAGCCAUGUUUUUUUGUACCAGCUUCUUGUCAUGGAAACUAAUUCACAUUGUACGAGCAGUACUGGUUCUUUGAUGGCAGAACCUGAAGCAGCCUAGUUGACCACAGGCCCUACCUGUUAAAUAUUCUACAUAAUCUCCUAUCAUGCCUACACUUGGGACCAAAGCUCCAACACAUGACUCUCUGGAUGGUUGAAAGCAAACCACAGGCAAUUGUAGCAGCAUGGAACAAAUGACUGGAUGAUAAACCUCUUUCUCAUAAUUGAUGUUUUACUUUUUUGUUGAGGUAUCAGUUAGGGAAUGAAUAAAUACUGACUACAGUAUGAGGUUCAAAGUGUAGGUUAAAAUAAUAUCUGUUAUAUUGAACAAUAUAAGAGAUUACUAAAGAAAUGGAUAAGAAGAAAGGAAGACACAGAAAAGGAAAACAGCUUCCUGAGAUCAGUCUGUUGGAAAUGACCUCCAAUAUUGCUGUUGCAUGAAUGGAUUUAUCAAUACAUGCAAGAGCAUGGUUGUUAAAUCCACAGCUUCACAGCUAGCUCUUGAUUACAUCAUCAAUACAAUAAACCCCAGACUUAUUGGAAAGCUGCAAUUGUUAUUUCUAGGGUUUCAGAAUAUCUGCAGAAUAAAGUGAUAGGGUAAACAUUUAAUAAUGAGUAUCUCAAGAAAAGCCAAUCUAAACAUCUGUGGUUUCAAGACAGAGUUAAAGUGCAACUUCUGGGGUUAUCACUCAGUAUCAUCCUAUUAUUUAUUCAUUACAUGCGGGUAAGGAGCACUCUCAAAGGUUGGAGUAAAGGGGCUGGAGGCUGUAUAGGUUAUUUUUGUUAAUUAUACAUAUUCCAUCUGAGAAAUUUGUGUUGUUGUUUGUAAGUCUGUGGAUAUUUUUUUCUUGGUUCUUUGUUAAAUAGUAAUUACACAUUGGGUGGAUGUUGGCAAAUUUGGAUUACUACUCAAACACAUAGGUACAAAAGUUGCUGUCUUGGAGGAAUGAAUGUGGGGAGAAAUGGCCCAAGGAAAACAGCAAGUAACAUUUUCUUUUCUAUAUGAUCUCAUUGUACAAAAGCCUAUGUUAAAGUUUUUUUGUUUGUUUUAUCAACUGUAAACUUCAUACAGUGCAUUACUAACAGAUGUAAUAGUUGGACAGAAAAACACUCAUAAUCCAUUUUUAAAGCUUAAACUGUGUCUCUAGGCAAUAGGAGCUGUGACUAUAGCCAAGAGUGAACAACAUCUAACACUUGUGUCUUUAGUAAUGUGAAAAUAACUUUUAAAAGACACUUAGCUGAAUUUUCUGAGACUAAGGACUCAGCCCUUAGACUGUACUUUCAAAAGAUAAUUCUCCAAGAGAGAUGCUUUCCAGUUCCUUCAAUAAGAAAAAUAGGAUUGGAAUUUUGUCUAAUGAGAAUAGAAGGGUGAAACUUGGUUUACAUUUCUUUCCGGUCACAAUCUGCUUUGUGGAAACUUCAGAUUCAGCUUCCUCAUUUUACAUUCUGAGUUUUUUUUUCCUAGCGGUAGGAACAUCUGAAACUUAACAUUUACAUAUAUCUUAUACUCACACACUCAUACUGAGUCUCAGUAGAUUUUUUAUUAUUUGUGUGUGUGUGUGCGCGCGCGUGCGCACACACAUGUAACAUUUGUGGAGGUGAAAGGUCAACUUUUAGAAAUUUGUAGGGUUUUGCCUUCCACCUUGCUGAAGCAGGAUUUCUUGUGACAUUUAGGCACUGCACUGUAUAGUAUAGGCUAGCCAGCACAUAAUGUUCCCAUUCAUUCUCCUCUCUGCCUCACAUGACAUAGGGCUGCUGAAAUUACAGAUAGGUACCCUGUUUUUACAUGAUGUAUUAGUAAGGACUCUCUAAGAGAACUGAAAUGAUAUAACUAAUAUAUAUGUGUGUGUAUAUAAUAUUCUAUUUAUAUAUAUUAUAUACCUAUGUAUUAUAAAAUACAUUUAUAUAUAUAUUAAAAGGGGAUUUAUUAAAUUGGCUUCCGUGAUAUCAUCUGUGUAGUCCAUCAAUGCUUAAUCCAUGAUGAGUAGUCUCAAUCUGGCACUGAAGGCCUGGAGGAUUCCUAGAGAACUACUGCUCUUCCGUCUACGUUGGAAUCCUGAUGAAAGUGGUUCUAGUACGAGUGAAGCAAUGUCACAGCAACAGAACAGAUGAACUCACCACCAAGAGUGAAGGCAAACAGGCCAAGCACAAAAAGUUUCUUUCUGUCUUCCCAUGCCAUUUUAUUCGGGUGACCACCAGAAGGUGCCACCCCCAUUUAGGGUGAGUUUUCCCUUUUCAGAUAAUCUGAUCAAACAAUUCCCGCACAGUUGUGCCUAGAUGCGUGUAAUUCAGUUGAUUUCAGAUCUAGUCAAGUUGACAGCUGAGAUAAGCUCUUGUGUGAUUCCCAGACGUCUAAUUUAGGUCAACAUAUUUGCCUGGCAAGCACUUUUAUCCACUGAGCCAUUUCCCUAAACCUUCCACAACUUCUUGUGUUUUAAUUAACAGUCAUCUGACAGUUGAUCAUUUUCCUUAAUCUAUUUUAUUUCAUUAACUAUUUUAUGUAUAGACUACGCUUUACUCCCCUCUGUAGUUCUAUUAUUGAAUGUACACUUCUAUGUUGGUUCAUCUGUUUCUUGAUCACGGUGAACUUGCUUGGUGUAUAUUUGAUAUUUGCUAAUAAACUCUGGUUUGGUGUUUUCACCUAUAAAAAGGCUAUGCUUGUAGAGUAAGAAUCUUCAGAAAAAUAUUGAGGUUGCUUCUAUUAAUACCAAAGCACACUGAUAUCUUGAACUUAAAAUUAGCUUUACAUUUCAAUUAUCAGUUUGUGGGAUUCUAAGGAGGCCUCAACCCUAAACAAAGAUCUACAGAAAACUAAGGAAUGCGAAGAAUGGGAGAACUAGUCUUCUCCUGGGAGGAGUACCACAGUUGGUUAUCCAAUCCCAAAUGGUCAGCCCUAAAAACAUACAAAAAAAAUAACAUUAUAUGGACUGAGCAGGGCAUAUUUUGGAAUAUAUGUGUAGAUAGAUAGAUAGAUAGAUAGAUAGAUAGAUAGAUAGAUAGACAGAUAAAUUGAUAGAUAGAUAAAUAGAUAGAUAGGUAGAUAGAUAGAUAGGUAGAUAGAUAGAUAGAUAGAUAGAUAGAUAGAUAGAUAGAUAGAUAGGUAGAUAGAUAGGUAGAUAGAUAGAUAGAUAGAUAGAUAGAUAGAUAGAUAGAUAGGUAGAUAGAUAGAUAGAUAGAUAGAUAGAUAGAUAGAUAGAUAGAUAGAUAGAUAGACAGAGAUAUGUGUAGUUGGAAGGUUUCUCCAGUCCUGCCCAGCCCCACUUAUAAAAUAAUCACCCAGAGGCUUAAUAUUAUUUACAAACUGUAUGGUCUAUGACAGGCCUCUUGUUAGUUAGCUCAUAUCUUAAAUUAACCCAUUUCUAUUAAUCUAUGUUUUGCCACGUGUUCCACAACUUACAGGUCUGCUGGAAUGUUGUUCCUUGGGCAGAAGGCUAGUGUCUCUCUGCCUCUGUCUUCUUCCUAUCUCUCUCCUUGGAUUUCCACCUGGCUAUACCCUGACUCACCAUAGGCCAGAGCAGCUUCUUUAUUAACCAAUCAUAGCAACACAUAUUCACAGCAUACAGAAAGACAUCCCAUAGCAGAUAUGCAUGUAAAAACAAUGAAAAAAAACAGGUUAUGAAUUUAAAAGAGAGUAAAGAGCGUUAUCUGAGUGGGUUUGGAGAGAGGAAUGGGAGGAAGGACGUGUGAUUAAAUUAAAAUGUCAAAAACAUAUUAAAAUUCAAAAAUAAAAGUCUUAUAAAUGAAUGAGGGAGGCUUAAGCUUAUGUCCAGGAAAUAUUGCUUUUACCACCCAGAGCCAUACCUAGUCUAGAUGGUUCUACAGAUUUGCACACUUGUUUAAAAUGACGAUGACAGAGUUUGCAGCUGCAUCUUGUGUAUUCCAAGCCUUAUGUAGAACUCUUAGGUUUAGCAACAGGCAUGGAAAGACCCACAAGUGUUGAUUACAAAUUUUCCCAGAACUCAAGAAUUACGACAACAGUCUUUACCUUCAUAGAUUCUACUUGCUAUUUGUUUUUAGGCCAAGAUAGUACUUCAUUGAUUGUGUGUGUGUGUGUGAGUGUGUGAGUGUGUGUGUGUGUGUGUUUCCUAAUGAGAACAUUGGAUACCAGAAAUUAGACUUUGGAAAUAAAUGAAUUGACUAUCUUUCAGUCCUACCUUAUUACUACACUUCAUUCUUCCAUGUAUUACUUAUUUCAAGACGAUUUCAUGUAUUUGCAGUGAGGAGUAAGUGAAACUUAUAGCCACUGAACUCACAUUAUUUUUAUCAACACUCUCUGUUGUUUUUAUUAUGUUGCUGUUGAUAUUUUAUUCUUUGAUAUAUAAAAAUUCAUUUGUUGUUUACUCCCUGUGAAUUUUAUUCUCACUCACUGCUCUUAUCUAAAUGUUUGUGUUCACUCUAUAAUUCUUAGACUGGUAUCCUGGUAGUCCUAGGAGAUAGGGCCUUGGGGAAGUAAUUAGAUCAUAAGGGCAUAGCCCAAAUAAAUGGGAUUAGUGUCCUUAGAAAAGAGGCCCUAGGGAGCUUAUUAUCUCUUUCCACCAGAGAAAAAGUGUCAUCCAUGACCCAAGACACCCACCCACCCUUACCACAUAAUGAAUUUGAGCCUUGAUCUUGGAUUGUAGCCUCUGAAACCACAAUGAAUUUCUAUUUUGUUAAAAUACUUAGUAUAUUUUAUUUUGUUACAGCAGCCAAAACAAACUGUGGUGUGGUUAAUAUUGUUUGCCCUUGAAUUUGCCUUGUCUGUUGCAAAGACUGUGGCUACUGAUUAGUCUUAGUAUUUAUCUAUACUGUUAAUUAAUUUUUAAAACCCAAAGUCAGUCUGUUUUAGAUCAAUCCCUGGCAUGUGGUAUAUGAAUGUAUAUUGAUAAUAAUCUAGGUGGAAUCAUUAGUACAUGAGUAAGACUUAUUAAAACAAAAUAUUUGUUUCACCUUAGCUCUGUUGUGUUUUCAUGUGUAAAAUUAUAAAAUUUAUACAAAUCUCAUUGUUAAUUUUUUGGUUUAUGGUUGUAUUUAUUUGAGAGCUGUGUUGUGUAGUUUUCUUCUCAUAUUUAUCUUUAAAAUUACAGCUGGAUUUAAGAUGACGUGAAAAUAUGUUAUACUACCAUCAGCCAACCCUGUGCAUCUCAUUCUUGUGUAUGUACAUUCCAUUAUGUUAGCACAAGGUGGGACUGACUGAUAUACAUUUCUGAGAUGUAUACAUCUUCAUCGAAAACAUAUGACUUUUUUUCAUGAAAAUUGAUUUUUUUUCAAAAGGAAAAUAGAAUGUUACAUGAAUGUUCUUGCAAACCACUUAUAUAGCAUGUGACAUUUAAUACAUAAAUAAAGUUUAAUUUAAAAUAGAAUUAGGUAUACUACAUCAGGGUAGCAAAAAUUAAAAUAAAAUAAUAAUUAAAUAAAUUUUAAAAUAAUUAAAAUCAAAAUUAAAAUAAAAUCAAGAUACAUCAAGUUGAUACCAGGUAACUUUGAUAUGUUGUACUAGGAACUUCAUGUCCAUGGAAUUCCUCACUAAACACACAUUUCCAGUUUAAUUGUGACAGAAAUAUCAGAAAACUUGAACUGAGGGACAAAAUACUUGACCAAAACUCCUCCAUACCAUCCAAAACAUAUGAUUCAAAAAACAAACAACAAUAGAAACUGUAACCACCAAGAUCAACCGGGGAAGUGUCUUACAUGGAGUUUUGAAAACGAAAAGAAUGAUUAAAAAAAAAAACAAAGAAUACAAUAUGUAUUUUAAUUAACAAUAAUGUAUAUGAAAAGGAAAUGGAGGAUAAUAGAGCAAGAAGGAUUGAUGAUGGGGAAUGGAAAUGCAGGUGGAGGCAGAGGAAGGAGUAUAGGGAGGAAUAAUUAGCACCAAAGACCUUUAAAACAUACGUAUGGACCAUGUGUGGGUGUCUGUUCUUGUGCCUUCUCUUGAGCUCUUUUUUUUUCUGUUUGCUUUGUUCAAUUCCAAUGUGUUACUUUUUGUGUUAUCUUAUUAUAUUUUGUUUUAUUAUUUAAAAAGUUCAUAUGGAAACUAAUACUGUGAGAGCUUUCUAAAAUGCACAUAUACACAUAAAAAGAGUUCACAUGAAGUUAUUCACUGACUGGCAGUGGGGGAUGCCUCUCUUGAACACCAUAGGCCAGCAAAUGAGAAGCAUAGUGUCAGGAAUCAGUUACUUCUUUUGGAAAUCUUGGUCAGUGGUGUCCCAUAUACUCCCAAAUAUUAUUAUUGCCGUUGUUCUUGGUUUUCUCCAGAACUUGAUAGUAAGACACCACACACUUGAGUCAUAGAUCAUGGAGAAAUCUAACUGGUACCAACGUGGAAGCUUCACCACUACUGGGUAGUUUCUUAGUGCUGGAAGGUUCCGUGCAUGAUAUUGAAGGAGAAGAGCAAUCACCAGUCUUACCCAGGUAUGAACCCUGUGAGCUACAAUAAUAAUGAGCCUUACAAGAUGUGCCCAUUCAUACAAUAGUGCUAUGGGAGUAACCUACCACUUCCUGUUUGGAGUUUAAGCCUUCUCCACAAGACCUAAUGCUUGGCUUGCACCAUUAAUUGGGCCAGAUUCUGUGGCUGGCUAAGUCCUAAUGCCAAUGGUAGAAGCAUCUGCUAUUAUUCUGCUAAAGGAAUAUAGUUAUUUAUCUAACUCCUAAUGAUUUAUUGUUAUAGUUUACUGCAUCUCUCAUUCCUUCUCAGAUAAACUUCUUUUUUUAAAAAAAUAAGGUAACUAACACAGAGACCUACAGGAGCCACUGUCCGUAGGAUGUGUUGUUGGUUGUUUUUUUUAUAUCUAGCCCCGCAUUGAGCAUCAAAAUGUUGGUGUUUUCUUUUGGCUAUUUUGGGUGACCCUCCAUCCAGCUCCCAAAUCACACAUGGAGGCUUAUUCUUAAUUAUAAAUGCCUGGCCAUAGCUUGGAUUGUUUCUAGCCAGUUUUCCUUAACUUUAAAUUAUCCCGUCUACCUUUUUCCUCUGGGCUUUUCUUGCUCUCUUCUGUAAAUCUUAAUCUUACGCCAUGGCUUGUUGUGUAGCUGGGUGGCUGGUCUCUGGAGUUCUCUUCCUUCCUCUCUUAUUCCUAGAUCUUCCUCUCUUCCCAGGUUUCUCCUUCUAUAUAUUCACUCUGCCUGUCAGCCAUGCUUAUCCUUUCUCCUGCCUUGCUGUUGGCCAUUUAGUUCUUUAUAAGACCAUCAGGUGUUUUAGACAGGCAAAGUAUCACAGUUUCAUAGAAUUUAACCAAUGCAACACAAACAAAAGUAACAUUCCUUAAAAUAAUAUUCUACUACAGGACAAGAGAGUGUAGAGUAAUUAGCCAUAGUUGGGACAUCCGUAUCACACCUCCUUCUCUCAAGGCUUAAGAAUCAUAGAGGAAGAUGGGGCAUAAAGAUUGUAAGAGCCAGAAGCAGUGUAUGACCACAACAAAACAGUAUUUUCAGCAUACAACAGGACAAUUGUAUAUAUGAACUCACCCUGGUUGGGAAAACAUGGAUAAGACUUGACCAAGAUCAAGUCAUACAAAAUCCCAGCAUGGAGUAGAGAGGUGAUCAUAAAGACCCAUGCCACUAAAGAACUAUUGGCAAUUGAUGGUUUCUAGGGGAGGAAGAGUCAGUUUUUCUCCAAGUAAGUGACUCUAAAAGGCUACCCAAAUCUAGUAGAAGGACCUUACACAUACUGGCAUGUAGCUGAAAGUUUUCCUGUGUCCUGCCUGGCCCAUGGUCAGGACAAAUCUCUCUCACCUGCUGGUCCCACAGCCGCUUGGACCCAAAUGAAGACACACAGGCUAAUAUUAUUUUUAAACUAUAGCUAUGGCAGGCUUCUUAUUAUCUAGUUCUUAUAUCUUAAAUUAACCCAUUUCUAUAAAUCUGUACUUUGCCAUGUGGCUUGUGGCUUACCACUACUUUUACAUCUUGCUUCUCAUGGUGGCUACCUGCAGAGUCUCCUCAGCUCUGCCUUUCUCCUCCCUCUCUAUCUGUUUGGAUUUUCCACCUGCCUCUAAGCUGACUUGCCAUAGGCCAAAUGGCUUUAUUUAUUAACCAAUCAGAGCAACAUAUUUUCACAGCAUACAGAAAGACAUUCCCCCAUCAGUAAGUCAGCUCAUCCCCAGGAAAGACUAAUUCCUCCCACUCCGGGCAGCUAAUCAAUGGGAUUAUGUUUUUAAGAACAUAUGAAAUUGGGAGGGAAUAGUGGUAGAUGUUAUUGGGAAGAUAAUGAAGGGGAUGAAAUAGAGAGUGGACUUGACAAAAAUUGUAUAAUAUGUAUGUAUGAAAUUAUCAAACAUUAAAAAUUAAAAGUCAUAAAAUAGCAGUGUAUCAGUGUUGGUUCAAAAAUAUACCUUAUGUCAAUCAUGAAAUACAAAGUAGUAGUAGAGGAAAAUGGCAUGCAUUGAAACUCUGCAUUAUGUAGAUAAGGUUUCUGCAAACCUGAAGCUACUCUAUAGUUCAAUUUUGCAUAACAAUACAUCAUUUUACCAGUAGCAUAAACUUUACUUAUAUUGCUGCAAAUAAUUAGUCUAGUUGGUUUCAAUUUUGUUCAAUGGAGGGUUUUACUGCUGUAUUCAAAUGCCCUAUUUCAAUAGACAUUAAAUAAUUUGGAAGCGUCAAGAAGUUUCCAUAGCUCCUGAUCAUUUGGAUGAGUUAAUAUUCAUACCUAAAGUUAGCUUCUGGAAGAAACUCCCUGUGUGUAUGUGUCGGUACAGUGUUUUUUCUCCCCCAGAUUCGGAGCCAUAUAGAUUUAACUGCAUCUAAGGAACUCCAUAUUAAGACACAUCAAAAUAGAGCAGAACACUUUGACCUGAUUCUGUCAGCCCAAACUCAACUGCCUCUUAGCUCCUGCUUUCCUGACAGAAAAGCACACAGUUCCCAGGCAGUUCCAAGGCCUCACUAAUCUCUUUCCAACUCUACAAGAGUGAUGCUCCUAUUUUACCACAUACUUCAAGCUCACUGCUUCCAAAGUCUCAAUCUUCGGCAUUAGCCAGGUGAGUAACUGCUCAGCCUUGAUGUCCUUGCAGACUAUAUCAUGCCAAUAAUAGAAAACCUAAAUGUUUCUGUAUUUUAUGUUUCAUAUCCUGGGUUGGUGUUACAGAAUUUAAAUGGAAAAUCAUCCUGAAUUCAAAGAGACUGUCUCCCAAGCAGGGAUUUCAAAUGCUAUUCUGAGAGUCACCAAAUUUAAAUCCCAAACUGUGAGACAUGCUUUCACUUCCUGCAUUGAUUUUUGGAAAAGCAAAAUAUUUUCAGAGUUCUUUCUGAAAGCUACCUACCUGAAAGAUCUUGGUUCUGAGACCUUUUUCUUUCUGCAUUUAUGUCUCUCCAGUAUCCUCCAAAGGAAGGUUCCUAAUUUGUCCUGAAAUUAUUUCUCUAAAGAGUCAAUUAAGCUCCGGUGAAGAUGUUUUCAAAUUCAGUACUGUUGAUAUUUUGGGUUUUGAGUAAAAGACUGCCCUGUGUUGUGGGACUUCCAGCAGUAUUCCUUGUCUCGUCCCAAGAUACCAAAAUCAAUACUUCCCCUGUUGUGAUGACCGAAAGAUAUCUCCACAGGUUUUUAAAAGUCCUUUAGGGAGCAACAUCAACCACACUUGAAAACUGCUGAUUUAGUGCAACCAUCAGAAUUCAAUUUUGUUGAAACUGCUGACGUACUUUGAUUGGGCUCAUAUUCAAUAGUCAAGGUGCCAAGAGACACAUGAAGCAUCUUCUCUGUUGGGUGUGCAUUCUCUGUGUCUUCAUACACUGUGAAAAUCAACAAAAUUGCUGUGGAGGAAGGCUUGUGGUUAGCAUGGAGUUAGCAGGUCUGUGGAGUUCAGAUAGUUGCUUCCUUUGCAUGAAAGGUGAUGAUUUUCAUCAGAGGGAUACAUAUUAGUACAAAGCAUCUAGGUUCAAAUUGGGCCUUCUUCUUUGACAGCGAAUGGUCAACACCAGUUAUUUCUGUGCCCACUCACUGAAAUCUGUGCUUUGUGGCUCAACUUUGGUACCGUAUAUUAAUUAUUUACUUAUUUGUUUGAUGGUUUUAUAUAAUUUUUAAAGACAGGGUUUCACUUCUUCUGUAGAUCAGGCUAUCUUCACAUUCUUAGUAAACUUCUUGCCUCAGCCUCCCAAGUAUAGGUAUCAUAAGGAUAUGCUGACACAUUCAAGCAGCUCUUAAUAAUUUAUAGCAUGAGUAAGCAACCUAUGAGCCUUUAAAGCACACCCCCACCCAUUACUUAACAUAUGAUCUAUUGCUCCAACAAUGGACUUCUACAUUUGGAUCAGUCCCCAAAUAUAGCUCAUGAAGCCCAAAAUAUUUUCCCUCUGUCUUUUUACAGAAGCAUGCAGACAGUUUCUGUUUUAAACAUGACAUCUGAAAACAUUUAUCCCCCCCCCCCAUUUUAAACCCUUAAUCCCACAUAUUGCACCAGCUUAGAUAUAACAGCACCAGCCACACUGGUAAUAGUGUCUGAUUCUUUAAAAUCCUCUCCAGUCACAGGGCUUAUUUAGACACCACUCUUAUCCCCAUGAAAAUAAGAAGGGUGAGCCCUUACAUCCAAAGACCACGUUUAUACCUGUGUUUAUUAUAUCUGUCUACAGGCACAGCAAUUCCAAACACCUGUUACCCUUUGCUCUAAGUUUCUUUCCUCAGGCUCUGGAAAUGUUGCAGAACACAGUGGCCAUAAGGAGCCAGCCAGCUUGCUCUUUCCCGGUAAGUGGAAGGUCCAGUGAUGGAGGGAAGCAGACAGUCUUUGGGAUGCAUAGAAGAGCUUGAAGCAUUCUAGGCAGAAUCUGUGUUUGCUCUUUCUCCUUUCUUUUUUGUCAUGGUUGUUUGAAAGCAAAAAAGAAUCCAGAGCAAGUUCUCCUAGCAGACCUAUACAUUUUUAAGUUGUCAUCAAUCUGCAAUUGCUUUCCCAUCACAGCUAGUCACUGUUAUUAUAUUUCUCCUAAGGCUGUUUGAGAUAAUAUGUUAUUAAAAGCUCCAGUUAAAUGAGUAACAUUUGGAAAACAAAGCAUGUAUAGGAUAUUUUAUUAUUGUGAUAUUUUAUUAUUGUGAGUCAGAAUGCUAAAGUAUACAUAAAGUAGAGAUGAGAUGAUAAGCUUUAAUUCCCAUUCAUAUUCAUUUUUGGAAAUGACUGUAUUGGAAAUAUUGAGAAUAGAUACAAUACUAAAGUUAUCUCUGGGGCUAGAGAAAUGUUCCAGUGGUUUAAAGUAUUUACUCCUUCUGCAGAGGACCUGGGUUCGAUUCCCAGAACCCACAUUGAGUUCACAAGCAUCCCUAAUUCCAGUUUGGGAGGAUCUAAAGCUCUCGUCUUACCUUUGCAGGCACCAGGCAUGAGUGUGGUGCACAAACACACAUGUAGGUAAAACAUUCAUAUCACAUUUGAAAUAAAUAAAUCUAAAAGAAAAAUAAUUAAGCUAUCUUGCAUGCAGUAACUAUUUUCAUAUCUAUGUUUUCCUGUGAAUAAUCUAACUGCUGAGGGUAAUAUUCCAUAAAUGGUGCUUGGUGAAUAUAGGCAUAGUAGAAUAGUUGUUCUCAUCAAAGCCCACUUCAUACUUGUCCCACCUUUGUGUGCCCAUAACAAAUGGUUCUGUAGUCAAAGUGCACAGAGCUUGACCAGAGGAAAGCUAUGGUUCCGCACAGUGUGGAUCCCACUCAUGAUUUCAUUCACAGUUUUAAUAGAUCCUUUCUAAAUAUAAACAUAAAUACACUUUGAAUUUCAUUAGAAUCAGACUGAAUUCAUAUGAAAUAUAUAAACUCCAGCUAUCAAUGAAACAAUAUUCAAUCAAUAUCUAAAUGAGCUCUGAGUUGGAAGUCCAAGAGAAUGCUGAUCAGGUGGUAUUACAGUACAAGUAUUCCAGCAGUAUCUACUACCUGAAGGCACGAACAUCUAAAUUACAGCAUACAGAUUGCGUCAAUGUUUAGCGUUGGCUUUGAGGAAGGAGGCAAGAGCAAAGCUUUUGAGGGAGGAGUCGAAUAAACGCAGAUGACGUCAGCAAAGACUAGACUAUUCAGAGCUGGAUUCUGAAAGGCUAUCUUGGAGCAAUGUUGAAAGGGGAGGGGAGAGGAGAAUAAAGCUUAUUCACAAGCCUGUUAUGGUAACCAGUGGACUUCCUUUACGGGGACACAAAGGGCUAGCAGAGUCCUGCAUGAAAUCCACAGUCUGCUGUCUAGUUACCAAACUGACGACCUCUUCCUCUUCUUUCUACACUAGGCUCAUGUUUCUUCUGACAAUUAAGUUAUUCUGAUUUAUUUCCCCAUGUUUCUUUCUGGAUUUUUUUUUUCCUAUUCUCUCCAUUAUGAUCCAAGCUCUUUCCCAAACAGUAUUUAUGAAAACUUUCCGAUUAAAAAGAAACCCCAAAUCGCCCUUCUCUAACAUUACUUGACUCUUUUAUAAACUGUCAGUUACUGUCUUUGGAAAUCUUUUAUUUUUCUCUCUUGGAUCAAGUUAAAGUUUUGUAUAUUUAUAAUUUAUCUCUGUGAUGGUUAAUUUUCACCUUUGAGGAAGACCUAAUGGCCAUCCAUGGCAAGUGAGAGAGGAAGAAUCAGUUCUCUCCAGAUCCCUGAGAGCCGAUACAAUCCUAAGUGGUCAGCCAUAAUUACAUUUUAAAGAUGAACUGUUAACUUGCUGUCUCUCAACCUUCCCAGGACGCCAUCACAAAAUGCCAUCAACCAGCUGACUGAUAAACAGGCAUUCAUUUCUUACCAAAAUCAAGACAGAAGCAGAUUGGACAUCUGCUGAAGGCCUGUAUACCAGGUUCAUAAAUGACUAUGAACUGCGGGUCUCCACAUGGUGAAUGAAGUAAGAGGUGUCCUGGGCCUCUUUUUUGGCACUAAUCAAAUUCAUGAAUGUCCAGCCACUAUCACCUGACAAUGACUUUUCUUUCUGGGUGAGAAGCAGUGGUGGCACACACUUUUAAUCUCAGCACUUGGGAGGAGGAAGUAGGAAGAUCAGGAGUUCAAGGUCACCCUGGGCUGCAGGAGAUUGAACCUGAGUCUGAAAGAGAAAAAGGCUGUGGUGGCUCUCACCUUUUAUCCCAGCACUUGGGAGGACCAUGCUUUUGAUCCCCACACUAGCGAGGUGGAGAGAGGAGUAUAAGGUGGGUGGAGACAGGAUCUGCUCACUCAGUCUGAGGAUUCAUAGAGACAGGGCCCCCUUUGGUGUGAGAUUUCGUAGAGCUAAGAAGUCUUUGGUGGCUGGCUGCUCUGCUUCUCUGAUCUUUCAGCUUCCACCCUCAAUAUCUGACUCUGGUUUUUUAUUAUUAAGAUUAAUUAGGACCACACUUCAUUGAGACAUAAAUAUUCAGACUAUGGUAAUGUUCUCUGAGGAAGUUUAGAGAAUCAUGGAUGUCAUAAAAUUUCCAUUUUUACAAUAUAACCAAACAGAAACAAGAUUUAUUAAAAUAACAGUAAUAACUUACCAUUUUGGCCUUAUCUAGAGUUUCAGAAGCCAUUGUACCGCAAGUGAUAUGUUUUAUACACACACACACACACACACACACACACACACACACACACACACGCGCGCGCAUGCACGCACGCACGCACGCACACACGCACACACAGAGUAAGUGUCCUAUAUCUAGAUGUGAGGGUUAAUUUUGGAGAGAUGCCAGCUAAACUGGCAAAGCUCACUCCUGUGAUGGCUAUGAUGGUGUUUGUGGAGAAGACUGGCAGGUGGGUCCAUCAACUCCACGAGAAAGAUUCACCCCCAGCGUGGGUAGGAUUGAUGGAGCAGGCUGAGAGCAUGAAUGAAGCACAGGGUGGAGGAAGGAAGAAUUUCAAACACAUUCUACUCUUCUUUCAGCAGCUUCAGUUUUUGCUACUUCCAAUGCCUGUGACCAUCAGCUCCAUCCUCUGAACAGGGACCAGGACUAAUGACUCCCUAAAAGCCUUUCAGCCUCUUGACUUGAAUUGGAGAUGCACCGUAAGCAGCUGUUCUUUUGUGACUUUCAGCUUCUUUGACUGAGUGGGACUGGUUUCCAGAGAGCUCUCCAGCCUGCAGACAGCCAUCACUGAACGAUUUGGCCUCUUAUCAUGUAUUUGAGAACGAGUUAGCUACUUCGAAUUGCAUGUACCAUGGAAUGAUGGUCCAAACUGAAAAUGUCCUGUGAUAUGUGGUUGAAUUUCUUGAUAGUCAAAGUAUGUAUUCUUUGUUGAGGGGUAAGAAGGGUGUAUGGGUGGGAGUGUGGACACAUAUAUGUAUCUGCAUGGUGUGGGAGUAAGUUAGAGGUCAAUGUCUGAUGUCAUUCCUCAGAUGCUGCCCUGUUUGUUCUGACAGUGUCUCAUUGGACCUGGAACUUUCCCUGAACUUCAGGUAUCACUCUCAGUUCAUCAUAUGUAUGUGGCAAACAAACACUGCUACCUGAGCUAGCUCCUGAGUCUUUGAAAUGCAUAUUAUUGAAGCAUUUACCCUCAUUUUGUACUUGGGGGAGGGAGUCUUCAGUACAGUUCUUAUUAAUUGUGGAGCAGGAAGGACUGCUUCUCUCUCCCAUUCUUCGUCUCCACCUUUCAGCUCUAGGCACUACCUCCAAACUGAAUCCUUUCUGCCAGAAAACAUUACAUAGUUAGGAAAAGGUAUUAGAGUACUUUCAAUUACCAUCCCAUCAUUUUGCUUCUUAAAACAUCCCUCCAAGAUUAAAUGAGUGCCUUUUGGUGUGGGACACUAUGCUGUGGAUAUCGGUCUGUAUAAAUAAAACACUGAUUGGCCAGUGGCCAGGCAGGAAGUAUAGGCGGGACAAGGAGAGAGGAGAAUUCUGGAAAGUGGAAGGCUGAGGGAGACACUGCCAGCCGCCGCCAUGACAAGCAGCAUGUGAAGAUGCCGGUAAGCCAUGAGCCACGUGGCAAGGUAUAGAUUUAUAGAAAUGGAUUAAUUUAAGAUAUAAGAACAGUUAGCAAGAAGCCUGGCACAGCUAUAUAGUUUGUAAGCAAUAUAAGUCUCUGUGUUUACUUGGUUGGGUCUGAGCAGCUGUGGGACUGGCGGGUGACAGAGAUUUGUCUUGACUGUGGGCCAGGCAGGAAAACUCUAGCUACAGACACUAAACUUCCCUAGUCACACAACAGCUAGGUAAUCAAAGUAAACCCCAAAACCUGUUUUUCUUUUCACUUGUCCUUUGUGUUCUUUCUAAUACUCCCUACGCAUCCCCACUGGCGGUUUACCAUGUAAAUGCAUUUUGACCAGUUUUGAGUUGCUGAAACAAUUCUCUCUCUCACCUAAAGACUCAGCAGUUGUACUGGAAUGUCUUGAAACUUAACUUCAGCACUGAAAAUCUUAAACUUUCUAUAUUAUUUCUGUAGCUUAAGUUUUCCUGCCUGGCCCACAGUCAGGGUAAAUCUCUCUCACCUGCUAGUCCCACAGCCGCUCAGACCCAACCAAGUAAACACAGAGACUUAUAUUGCUUACAAACUGUAUGGCCAUGGCAGGCUUCUUGCUAACUGUUCUUACAGCUUAAAUUAAUCCAUUUCCAUUAAUCUAUACCUUGCCACGUGGCUCGUGGCUUACCGGCAUCUUCACAUGCUGUUUGUCAUCGUGGCGGCUGGCAGUGUCUCUCUGACUCAGCCUUCUACUUCCCAGCUUUAUUCUCCUCCUUGUCCUGCCUACACUUCCUGCCUAGCCAAUGGCCAAUCAGUGUUUUAUUUAUUGACUAAUCAGCAACACAUUUGCCAUACAGAACAUCCCACAGCAUAUUUCCUUUACUAUAACACACAUUUUAAUAUUCCAGAACUUGCCAGUUCAGAAUUUACUCAUGUUUCCAGCACUCCAUGAAGAACAGAGUCAACCACACAUGUUCCAGCUCCUUCCUUCCAGAAAUUAGAGUUUAUUUCACUUACGUUAGCUCAUCUCUUGUAGCCAUUGUUUCCUUAAUGUCUUGAAAACUGCCUGGUAGUUAAUAUUUUUAACAAGCAAAUAACAGACGUACGUGCACAUAAUGUAAGUGACUGUUCAAGACUAAAAAUGCAUGAUGAAUGCAAUUAUGAAUGAAUUAGUAUAGCCAACACAAUUACAGAAUGGAAAAUUAGUAAAACUGUCAGAAAAAUAUCCAAACAGAAAACCAGUGGAGAUCAGGAUGUUCCUGGGAACUUCACACAUUCCUGUGAGCCAUGCAUAUCCAUUAUGGAGAGACAGCAAGCUUCUUUGGGCUUGCUAAAUAUAAAAAAAUUUUGAAUGUGAGCUAUUUACACAUUUUAGAAAAUUUUACAUGAAUAAUAAUCUGUGUUGUCAGGCAUGGAAUUAAACCCCAGACUGGUCCAUCUGUACACAUGAAGGUAACAUUUAAUUCUGUGGGCAUCUUUCAUUAGGACACUAAUCUCAUUCAUGAGGUCACUGCUCCAUCUCCUAAUCACCUCUCAAAGGACUCACUGCUAACACCAAUAACUCCAGUGUUAUUUAUAAUAAAUAUAUUUUUCUUUAUAUAAGUGGGCCUAAAAAUGUUUGGAAAAUAGUUGCUAGAGCGCUGGUAAGAAUAUGAAAUAACACAAGGGUAGAAAAGACAUUACAUAUAUCCAAUUAUUCCUACAAUGGUCCCCACAAAAGAAACUCCUAGCAUGUUAAAAUUGAAAUCAGGUCUAUACAACCAGAGUUCUUAACUAUCAAUUAGACUACCAAUCAAGUUAGGUAGGGAAUCAAUCCCUUAAGAACCACACACAUUUUGAGACUAUGGGGCAUAAGAAAUAGAAUGGAAGCCUUAGAUGGAAUAUUUAGCCUCCUCCACAACACAAUUGUUCAUUCUGAUCCUCCUGAGUGAUGGAUAUGUGCUUUUUUCCUAUUUUGCAUAUAACCUCUGCUUGAGGUCAGAAUUCAGUGACUAUCAAAGCCUCCAAAAGACUGUUUCUGGAGAGGCCUUUCCCAAGGCCUUCCACUGUGUUCCAUCAGACUUCACUAUGUGAACUCAGAGACUAUCUUACUUUGAAAGACCCAAGCCAGUUAUUCCACGAAUCUUCUCCUUCUUAGGGAUGGUAGAAGAGAUAAACUCUGGGUCUGAAUUUCUAAUGUUUACUUAGCUUUAAUGAUAUCGGUUUAACUGAAGCUCAGAUGUGAGCCUGGUGUCUGUCUCUCUGCCUCACGAAGGCCAAAGCAGGGCAUACCAUAUUCUGGUUUCAGACAAUCUGGCAAGGGUUCCGUGAGAAAAUACUGUAUGCCAGGUUCAUGUUCACUUGUUCACAAUUUCAUAUUUUAGUUCCCUAAAUAAAAAAAAAAAAUCAAACUGAGACAGGGAAAUAUUAUAGAAAGAUAAGCAAGAACGUUUAGGAGAAAUUUUUCAUUUUAGGAACAUCAUUUCAGGUUCAUACAAAGACUAUUUGAAAAGCCACGUUUGAGAGUGAGACAUACAAUUCUACAACAAAUUCUGACAAGAAUUCGCACCCUAUCAGAAAGGUUCUUUUCUCUUGUUUGGCUCUCCUGCAGUGGGACAGGGGACAGAGCCAAUGCCCCAACCUCUCUGCACUUAGGGAAACACUUUGACCCAGUUCCAGCAGCCCAAGGGCUGUCCUUAAUUAGCAUUGUAAUUUAUAUUGCACAAUUAUGCAAAUUGGGUACAUAAACAAAAUUAUCCUUUCAGGUUGGCUUUGCCGCUCGAGUCGUGCGAAGCCAGCCACCGAUAAGAAAAAGACAACAGAAUACAUUUGCUUUAAUGCAAUGUCCACUUCUUCAGGUCUCUUCUUUUGUUUCACUCUUUCACCUUGCUCUUGGGGCUUUAUUUUUUUUCUUUCUCUAUGUUGUUUUUUUUUUUUCCUUUAUGAUGUUUAUUUCUUCCUUUAUCUAUACUUGGCUCUUUUUCCUUGAGAAAUUUUCCCUCUCAUUAAUUCUUCUGCUGCGAUUCGACAACCCUUUGGGUCAUUCCUUUGGGGUUGGAUACGAUUGCUAUCUGCCUGUUGCCUGUUGUAGUUUUCUUUUGCUUUCUGCUCUCUAAGUAUCUCUUUUCUGCUGGCAUCCCCCCCCCCCCCGCCCCCCCCAGCCAGUUUGACUUUCGUUUAUAGCUGAGUGAUGCUCCUUGCUACCCAUCUAGCAAACACCCUCAGGAUGCAAGCAUGUUUUUGGUAAGAAAACUGAAAAUAAGCAUGGCAAAUAACAAAACUUGGAAGACGGGAAAUUUGAAAACACAAAGCUUAGUGCAUCAGACUGGAAACCUGUGCCUCCAAGCAAUGUGCAGCAUUCAAGGAAGUAUUCGCCACCAGGUGAUCAAUGCUUAAAUCAGCACAGCAAAGACAAUUUACUAAUACUGGAUCACAUUCCAACUGAGCCAGUUCCUUUGAAUACCCUUAUAAUUACAAAGAAGAUUAGAAAUGUCUGAAAUACUGUAAAUUUAUAGAAAAAGGUUAGAAUGGGGCUGGAUUUGCAGGAAAGGUUAUUACAGUGAUUGACAGUACGUGGGGAUGAACUGCUGAGGGCAUUUCUAACAGAGGUGCCCCAACAGACUGGGGAAGAAAAAAAAAAACCGUGCCUUUCUUUAUCUGCCCAGAACCAUGUCUCCCAUGGGAAAAUACUCCUUUUCAUUCUGCAGCCCUCUGGCUUCGGCAACAUCAGUCAAAUUAAAACAUAACCCAAGGGGCACCCUGCCCAACUAUGGCAAAUCAUAGCAUCCUCCCUCGGGCUAAAACUUUUUUCCAUUUUGAGUAACAUUCAAAUGCCUUGUAGAACCUUCCCUACAUAUUUUCAGUCCCUAUUUUGCUGUCUUUAACCCACCCAUCUCUUUCCUAUUUGCUUACUAGAUUCUAGCUGUCCUGGCUGUCUAAUAUUCUCACAUCUUUUAUAUAUAUAUAUAUAUAUAUACAUACCUUACAUCUUCUCUGCUUUGUACUUUGAUAGUGCUGGAGACUGAAUUCACAACCCACACAUGCUAGACAGGUGCUCUAACACAACCACGUCCUAGUGUUUUCUGUGAUUUUUGAUAGCUGGUUUAUUCUUGUCACCUGGGUCUAUAGUCACAUUUAAUUUAACAGACAUCCUCCCCUAAAUCUCUAUCUAAUGUUGCCCUAUACUCUGCUAUCCCAUCACUUAUUACGUUUUAAGUUGGUAGUAUUAAAUGUAUGACUGUGUACUAUAUUUAACUUCUAUGUGUACUUGCAUAUAAGAUAUUUAUCAUAAAUUUUAACUUACGUAUUGUGUGCCUCUCCCUGCUCAAGAGAAUGGAAGAUCCUUUCUAUCUCUCUUGUUGCCAUAUCCCUAGUACCUAAGACAGUGUCAGGAUGCAGAGAGCAUUCUCAAGAUAUCCUUAACCUAAGGGAAUGAAUUCAUGACUGCUAGAAAAUUGACAAUGACCUAUACCCAGUCAAUGCCUUUGAUUUAAAUCUAUAACCUGUUAUUUUACAAAUAAAUGUGAGUAAAAUUCUUUGGGGUUUUAGGUACUAAAACUAAGGUGAGUACAGCUCACACUAACUGGCCUCUCCAUCUCGUGAACUGGAGUGGCAUAACCAGCGAGGGCUCAGUGAUGAGGGGGCUGUAUGGUAGAAGCAGAGAUGGAAAAUAAACCGGAUCAGUCUUAUUAACUAGUUCCCCACGAUCGUGCGGCCCAUUUGUACUGCUGCUUUUGGUUUCUUUAAAGACAUUCAGGAUCCUUUCGGCAAAUUUUGACUUCACAAAAUUGCUACACGUUAGGUUUCAAUGUGCUCAAUUAGUAAGUAUGAUAUCAAUCAACAUAAAAAAUAACUCAACAAAACAGCAUAACAAUAUCCUUGAUACUAAACAUCAAGGGGGGAAACGUGUUUGAGUCAUUCGCCUGUUUAAUGGAGAGUUGAAUUCUUCAUAUUUUUACAUUGUAGCUUCUCUGUUCAAAGAAAUGAUGAAAAAUAAAUAAAGGAAAGGUGUGCAGGGAUAGUAGAAGCUACCUGAUGGGAUAUUGGAAAUAGCAAACUGCAAAGUUCUUAUGCAUCAUAACUCAUAUUGAGUAUGUUUCUAACUAAGGCAUUCUAAUCUUUAGCUCUGAGCACAAUUGUGAGUUUGUUUUUCAACUCAGAUGUGUUGUUCUUGCUGUCUGUGGCAUAUUCUGCAUCCUGGUUUAUUUCAGAAUAUUUUCAAAACUUUUUUAGUUAAGCAUAUUUGGACUUCCUUCCUGUACACUAUCAAAAUUUAUAUCCAUGAAUAUAACAUCUGGAGAGUAGCACGGAUUGGGUAAACUUUGUGAUUAAGGCGUGGAAUAACUUCUUUCUGCCCCCAUGAUGUGGGCCUGAAUCCUAGUGUCUCUCUCCAGACCUGGUAGUCACCUCUUCUCUUCCCAUGGUAACCAGCUGGCUGAGCCAGAAUUGGGAAGGUGAGUGGGGAGGGGUUGAGGGAUAUCUGGUGCAAAAAAAAAAAAAAAAGAUGCUUCUUUUCCAAGACCCAUCAUGGUAAAUUCCAGAGUAAUGAUCACAAUAAACACAAGUUCAUAGGAAAGAAACAUGUCCUAAAAUGAAAAACU